UACGGGAGGCAGCAGUGGGGAAUAUUGCACAAUGGGCGAAAGCCUGAUGCAGCUAUGCCGCGUGUAUGAAGAAGGUCUUAGGGUUGUAAAGUACUUUCAUCGGGGAGGAAAAACAAAACUAAUAAUUUUAUUUCUUGACGUUACCCGAAAAAGAAGCACCGGCUAACUCCGUGCCAGCAGCCGCGGUAAUACGGAGGGUGCUAGCGUUAAUCAGAAUUACUGGGCGUAAAGAGCACGUAGGUGGUUUUUUUAAGUCAGAUGUGAAAUCCCUGGGCUUAACCUGGAACUGCAUUUUGAAACUGAAAUACUAGAGUAUCGUAGAGGGAGGUAGAAUUCUAGGUGUAGCGGUGAAAUGCGUAGAUAUCUGGAGGAAUACCUGUGGCGAAAGCGGCCUCCUAAACGAAUACUGACACUGAGGUGCGAAAGCGUGGGGAGCAAACAGGGAUUAGAUACC
rnacentral:rRNA from 1 species